UACAGAGGUCUCGAGCGUUAGGCGGAAUCACUGGGCUUAAAGCGUGUGUAGGUGGAUGCCUAAGUACCUUGUGAAAUCCCACGGCUUAACCGUGGAACUGCUUGGUAUACUGGGUGUCUUGAGUCACUCAGGGGCGAGCGGAACAAAUGGUGGAGCGGUGAAAUGCGUAGAUAUCGGAAGGAACAUCAGUGGCGAAGGCGACUUCCUGGACCAAUACUGACGCUCAGGUGCGAAAGCGUGGGGAGCAAACAGG
rnacentral:rRNA from 1 species